rnacentral:rRNA from 1 species
GUGCCAGCAGCCGCGGUAAGACGAACCGUGCGAACGUUGUUCGGAAUCACUGGGCUUAAAGGGCGCGUAGGCGGCCGGGUUGGUCGUGGGUGAAAUCCCCCAGCUCAACUGGGGAAUUGCCUACGAUACUGCCUGGCUCGAGGGAGGAAGGGGCGGCCGGAACUGUCGGUGGAGCGGUGAAAUGCGUUGAGAUCGACAGGAACGCCGGUGGCGAAAGCGGGCCGCUGGCCCUCUUCUGACGCUGAUGCGCGAAAGCCAGGGGAGCGAACGGGAUUAGAUACCCCGGUAGUCCUGGCCUUAAACGAUGGGCACUAGGUAGUGGGCUCGACCUGGGCGCACUGCCGCAGCGAAAGUCAUUAGUGCCCCGCCUGGGGAGUAUGGUCGCAAGGCUGAA